AGCGAACGCUGGCGGCAGGCCUAAUACAUGCAAGUCGAGCGGUCCCUUCGGGGGCAGCGGCGGACGGGUGAGUAACGCGUGGGAAUGUGCCCUUUGGUACGGAACAACUGAGGGAAACUUCAGCUAAUACCGUAUGUGCCCUUCGGGGGAAAGAUUUAUUGCCAUUGGAGCAGCCCGCGUUGGAUUAGGUAGUUGGUGAG
rnacentral:rRNA from 1 species